GCGCAGUUAGCUCAGAUGGAUAGAGCGUCGGCCUCCGAAGCCGAAGGUCACUGGUUCGACUCCAGUACUGCGCA
rfam:Acidithiobacillus ferrooxidans ATCC 23270, complete genome.